rnacentral:lncRNA from 1 species
AACGAAAACUAACUUACCCCACUUUAUCAUAGAGUGUCUUGAUCAAAACAAUCAAAAGUCAGUAAAAUGUAGAAAGAUAAUAUUGAGACAAAGCAAUCCCUCAAACACAAAUGAGUGUGAUCUCACCAAUGCAAAGAACAAAAAAAACAGGUUAAAGAAGGAAUAAUCAACAGAAUGCCAAAAUUAGCACGAAGCAGGAAGAGACAUAAAUAACGAACGAUAAGUAUAACCACUAGCUAAGAGGUAAGAAGCACCUCACAAACUAAACAAGCACAAACAAUACGCCUAUACCGGUGAAAAACCACAAAGCUUUGGAUAGAAGGGACAAAAGCUCUAAGAGACUAAUAUCGCACACUUAUACUAAGGGAAGCAAGGGAAGAAGAGAACAACAUGAGUAAGGGAGAACGGAAGCCAACCCCC